GAUGAACGCUGGCGGCGUGCCUAAUACAUGCAAGUCGAGCGAAUGGAUUAAGAGCUUGCUCUUAUGAAGUUAGCGGCGGACGGGUGAGUAACACGUGGGUAACCUGCCCAUAAGACUGGGAUAACUCCGGGAAACCGGGGCUAAUACCGGAUAACAUUUUGAACCGCAUGGUUCGAAAUUGAAAGGCGGCUUCGGCUGUCACUUAUGGAUGGACCCGCGUCGCAUUAGCUAGUUGGUGAGGUAACGGCUCACCAAGGCAACGAUGCGUAGCCGACCUGAGGGGGUGAUCGGCCACACUGGGACUGAGACACGGCCCAGACUCCUACGGGAGGCAGCAGUAGGGAAUCUUCCGCAAUGGACGAAAGUCUGACGGAGCAGCGCCGCGUGAGUGAUGAAGGCUUUCGGGUCGUAAAACUCUGUUGUUAGGGAAGAACAAGUGCUAGUUGAAUAAGCUGACACCUUGACGGUACCUAACCAGAAGGCCACGGCUAACUACGUGCCAGCAGCCGCAGUAA
rnacentral:rRNA from 1 species